rnacentral:lncRNA from 10 species
CCUUGAACUGAAAUAUCUUACAUUUAUUCUCAAGCAGGUAGGGAGAGGAGAAAAGACAUUGUGAAAAUUACACCUGAAUGCCUGGAGCAUGGAAGACAUUCUGUCCCUAGCCUUUUCCCUGUGUAUUUUGUCCCUUUGCCCACUCUGCCCAAAGACUGAGCUUUCUAAAACAUAAAUAGAUUCAUGUUAUUCCCCUCCCUAAAAGGCUUUCAGAGGAUCUCCAUGGCCAUAGGAAGAACUUCAGAUUCCUUAGCAUGCUACAGAACUAACCAGGAUCAGGCCUCCUUAUUUCUCUAAUUUAUUUUCACC